rnacentral:lncRNA from 1 species
AAGGCCCUUUGUCUUGGGGAAAGCGGCAAUUGAUCAGUUCUCUUAGAGCCAGAUAGCUGGGCUUUUCAGGGCAGAUGCUAAUGCUGCCCUUUAGAAAGCUCAGGAAUGCAGGUGACCUUCUUGGGUAACAACCUCCUUCCUCGCGGCUUGUCUGUCAUGUUGUCUGCACAGGGAUAUGCUUGGAGAACGUAGGGCCUCAGGGUCCUACGGAAUAAAAUCAACGAUUUGUUGAAGCUCCCUAUGAAGCCAGAACUUACAGAGGAGCCAUUGGGAUGUGACGGGGGUAGAAAGAGAAGAGUCAACGGCGUGUGUGUGGUCUCCAGUUUAGAAGACAGAGAGAGUGCUGCUCCCAGGACUGGAAUGGGGAUGCUGAUCGGCACCAUCUUGUUCACUGUCGAAUCCCCCAAGUUCAGCACAGUGACGAGCGCCUAACAGAUGCUUUAGACAUAUUUUUGGAUGAUUCAAUAAAUAAAUGAACAAAACUGAAGUCAGCAUGUGCUCUCAGAGAAAGUGAAGGAAUAAAUCAGGGGUCAAAAACUCUUUCCCUGGGGCCAGCCCGGUGGCGCAGCGGUUAAGUUCGCACAUUCCACUUCGGUGGCCGGGUGCCGGUGUUCACCGGUUCGGAUCCCGGAGGCAGACAUGGCACCGCUUGGCAAGCCAUGCUGUGGUAGGAGUCCCACAUAUAAAGCAGAGGAAGAUGGGGACGGAUGUUAGCUCAGGGCCAGUCUUCCUCAACAAAAAGAGGAGGAUUGGCAGCAGUUAGCUCAGGGCUGAUCUUCCUCAAAAAAAAAAAAAAAAACUCUUUCCCUUCAGGGCCCCUAUUAGUCAGGGCUCAGCUGCAGAUAAGAGUAACCAAUCCACCUAGUUUAAGCAGAAAUGAAUUUAAUUCCAGGAAUUAAGUGCCUACAGAGUCAUUGGAAGUGAUGGAGGAACAGAUAAUCUCUAGGCUGAGAAGAGAUUCCAAAAAACCCCACAGAACUGGUCCACCGAGGGAAAGGAAUUGCUACUUCUGCUAUAAUCAGGAAGCUACAGGGGUAGGAGGCAACUGCUGGCUCCAUGUCUACACCACUGGCGGUUGGGGGUCAAAAAGCUGCCCCUAGAACAGCUGGCUCCAGAGCCGCGUUGUACCUGCUGGAAUCCACCACAGCAAAACAGCUGCUGCCACUCUCCCCUGCGAGUCCCAGUAAGUGUGUCCCAUGGUGACUGAGUCCCUCCUGGAGCCACACCUGCAGCGAGUUUGGGAAAUGCAGACCCUAGCUUUCCAGCCUCUGCCGUGGAGGAAGUUAUCCCAGAAGGAGGUUGGAACAGAAGCUGAGUGAGCCAACCGACGCUCUCCACUACAGGUGCCAAGCAGAUGCAUGUGCUGCACCUGGAACCUCAAGCACCAGGCAUCUUCGUGAACACCCCCUUCCGACCCAAGCGCACACACUGAGGAAAGGCCGUGCGAGGGCCCUGUGAGAAGGUGGCCUUCUGGAAACCGGGAAUAGAGUCCUCAUGGAACCAACACUGCCAGGACCUUCAUCGUGGACGUCCAGCCCCCAGAACUUGCACAGUAGACGUCUUUUGAGGUCCUUCUCUGUAAGGGCUACCUCAUCAUUUUUAACACCUGCAUUCAGCUUAUACCAAAUGUUUCUGAAAUCGAGGCUUUUUAUGUGCCUUCUGUCUUGGAGCAAGGACUCCCGAGAGCAGCAUCGUGAGCCUGGCUGAGGGGAGACCCAAGGACGGCCGGGACCCAGCCUCCACGCCAGGCCUACGCUGCAGAGCCCACAUCCCCGACAGCUCUGCAGGCAGACAAGUGAAGGCACUGGUCGUCCCCACCGGGGACAAGCCCCCCGUGACAGCGCCAUGUCCAGUGGGCAGGGGCUGCCUUCUCCGGUUGCUCAGGAGUGAGCAGUUCCGCUGCCCACUCUCCCCUCCCUCCACCCGCGCAUCAUUCUUGAGCUGCUGCCAUAGGAACUUGCCAGGCAGAGGGUUGGUGAAGCCUUCCCACCACUGCCUGGAUGGGCUGCAGCAGUCCCCCCGCCCGCCACCUGCUCCCCGGCACAGGCUGCACGUUAGAAUCAUGAAAUCGCUAUGUCGAAGAGAGAUCUGCACCCAGUGUUCACCGCAGCACUAUUCACAACAGCCAAGACGUGGGAACGACCUGGGUGUCCAUCGACAGAUGAAUGGAUAAAGAAAACGUGGGUCAAGGUUCUGCAGACUUCUCAACAGAUCUCUGAAUCCGCCUGGUCCAGGUCCCCCGCCCAGGGAGCCAUACUCAGAACAAGAGCAGCUGGGAGUCAAAGCACAUUUGGUUCACGUCCAAAGUAGCAUCCGACAGCCCUCCAGGAGGGGGCUCCCUGGGAGAAACCAGGUUGGCCAGGAGGCUCCAGCUAUCUGAGCUCCUCCCCCUGAAACUGAACUGAACUGAAGGUGUCUGGGGCUGUAGGGCAGCCUAGAAGCAGUGAGACCACCAGCGGCAGGCGUGGGGAGGGCAGACCCCACCUCUGUGCGCUUGCCACAUAGGUACAGACAGCGCCUGGGGGCUUCCUUCCAAGGUGGUGUGACUGCCCAUUAGCAAAAUGCGGCCAAGCGAAUGCCAAGUUCUGAUCAGUCAGGUCAGCAACUCCCCUCCCCCAGAAUGAGGAACACCCUCCUCCCAACAUCCCCUGGCUAAACCACCGUUCCCGCCUUCCGUGGGUUUCCAUGCUCUGCCCCCUCCCACUUGCUGUCCUGGCUGCUUCAGUUCAUCAACAUCCCCCCGAGAGUGUGGAGCCCAGAAUGGGUACCUUGUUCUCCCUUGUUUUGCUUGAAUGCAGGAAAUAAAUCUCCGUUUCAGUAACUGGACCGUCAAAGACUAUAAUCUGUGUCCUGAACAAGACUCAAGGGACGGGACCAUAGUAAGACUGAGUGCCAACUGAGUACUUACUGUGUGCAGAUGGCGGUAACACUGCCGGGGGACACGAGGAGAGGCGCUGAGCGGUGGGUGGCCUGCGCUGGUGCCUGCCGUUCUCCUGACAGUUCCAUGAAGUAGGUGCUCUUCCUGGGGGCUGCCUGGGCUCAAAAGCCAUCUGUGGCUCCAGACUCCGCCCGCGUCCAGGCUCAGUGGCUGUGCCCGCUCUCUGCAUCGCCACGGCGGGCUCCACUGGCUGCACAUCCG